GAUCUGGUAGCUCAGUUGGUAGAGCAAUACACUUUUAAUGUAUGGGCCCUGGGUUCGAGUCCCAGCCGGAUCACGA
rnacentral:tRNA from 1 species